GAUGAAGAACGCAGCGAAAUGCGAUAAGUAAUGUGAAUUGCAGAAUUCAGUGAAUCAUCGAAUCUUUGAACGCACAUUGCGCCCGCCAGUAUUCUGGCGGGCAUGCCUGUUCGAGCGUCAUUACAACCCUCAGGCCCCCGGGCCUGGCGUUGGGGAUCGGCGGAGCCCCCCGUGGGCACACGCCGUCCCCCAAAUGCAGUGGCGGUCCCGCCGCAGCUUCCAUCGCGUAGUAGCUAACACCUCGCGACUGGAGAGCGGCGCGGCCACGCCGUAAAACACCCAACUCUUCUGAAGUUGACCUCGAAUCAGGAAGGAAUACCCGCUGAACUUAAGCAUAUCAAUAAGCGGAGGA
rnacentral:misc_RNA from 1 species